rnacentral:lncRNA from 1 species
CAAGUUAUAGGGAAUUUGAGAUUCAGGACACACAAAAAUUCAGUGGUUCGCAUAAGCGAGUCAACGAGUUUUCAUGGCAGUAACGAUCUUGAGUUCUCUCACUUUCUUGCUAAAAACACAUCUUUUUUCUGGAAAAUUUGAAAUGAUGAGCUUUUGUCGAUGAAAAAACAGUUAAUAUAUUUGGUGUUAAUUAGAAGAAAAUUUGAAGGCAGUAAAAGGUAGUGUUUCUUAGUGCCGAUUUGGGGGUGGGUAAUUCUCUGCUCUGAAUAUGAUGUAUUUAGUAGUGUAAAUUUUAAUUUAUGAAUGGGGUUUUUUGUUUAAAUUUUGUUAUUGUGAUUUGGGGGAUUUUGUUUGUAGCUUUGGAUUUCCCAUCAUGGUGUUUAAUUGUUUUAUUUUUGGCUUUAGGAAAUCAUGGUUCUUUGGAUUUGGGGCUUUUGUUUGCAGCCUUCAGAUCCCUAUCUAUUUAAGGCGAGUGAUUUCAAGAUUUUAGAGUU